rnacentral:ribozyme from 13 species
AACACCCAGAAAAAGUUCACCACGAAGAUAAACGAAAAGGAAAAUGGAGAAAAGGAUAACAAAAAAGAAAAGUGAUUUGUUUCCAUUCAUAAUGAAUUUUUGGAUAAAUUUCCCAAGGAGGUUUUUUUUCUCGUUUUUUUUUUUUU